rnacentral:lncRNA from 1 species
UUUGUUAACACGCGUACGCUUGUUUUUCAGUUGGUACGUUUUAACAAUGUGUACCAGAUUAUAGUAGACAAAAAUACCAUCAUUUAUCAUGGAUUCUAAGUUUUAAGGUCAAGGAUAUUUAAAUAAUUUUCAUUCUCAAAACUAAAAAAAAAAAAAAAAACCCAAACCCUUACUCACCUCCCUCAUUCCUCUCAACCCUUUCUCUUUCAUCUCUCUCACUCCAACAUUUUCUCUGUCAUCUCUCUCACUCCAACAUUUUCUCUAUCAUCCCCACUGUUGCCCUAAUUGAAAAAAAAAAUCAGAAACCCUUUUUCAUCAGAGACAUUUUCUCUCUCAUCUCAACAUUUUCUCUGUCAUCACUCCAACAUUUUUUCUCUCAUCUCAACCCAAUUGAAGAUGGUGGUGGUAAUUUGAAUCAGAGAUAUUUUUUAAAAAUUGAAAAAGUUUACUCU